GUGCUGUUCUGGAACUGGCUCUGGGCCGCAUGGUUGGACCUUAAGUACCCCUGGGGCGGAGCUAAGGUAUGACAAGCUUCUUCUUUCUCAGAAAACAAUUAGAUAAGGAACUGUGGAACCCGAUGAAGACAACAGGCAAGAGAAAAUGUCAACAUAUGGAAAAAAGAAAACACCAUUUCUCUGCCAAGAAAAUGAAGAUUUGAGUAGUAUAAACUGGGAACGAGCACAACAGGGGAGGAUGUAGGUCAACGAGGAUGUGGUAAAAGAACUUCUUGGUAAUUUGAAUGCCUUCACAUCCCCAGGCCUUGAUGAAAUGCGCCCUAAACACUAAGGGACUUGUUGAAGAAUUGUCAGAACCUUUGUCAGUUAUCUUCAAGGAAAACUGUGUCAAAGAAUUGAAGAAGAACCAAUGUGAUUCCUCUCUUCAAGAAACAAAAAAGAAAAAGAAAAUCCAAAUAGAGAAAAUAAUGAAGCAAACUAGUAGUUACCACGGGGAAGACAAUGCCGUGAUUUUUAAGAGUCAAUGUGGCUUUGUUAAAAACAAAUCAUGUGAAAAAGUUUCAUCUCCUUCUCUGACAAAGCAAUUAUGUUCGUAGAGAAGCGGAAAUGCUACAGAUGUACUCUACCUUGAUUACAGCAAAGAUUUUGAUGAGUUUUUAUUGACAACCUGUUAAAGUGUUUUAAAUAACAAAUAAAACUAUCUAUAAACUAUUAUUAAAUUAAAUAGAUAACAUUUAAAUAAGUGUGUUUUAAGACACCAGGUUAGAAAGAAGGAGACCGUGAGUUGUAGUCCUGCAUUAGCCAUGAAAGCCAGGUGGGUGA